UUCCGUAGGUGAACCUGCGGAAGGAUCAUUGUAAAUACCU
rnacentral:rRNA from 1 species